GAGAACCAUUCGAUCCGUAAGGACCGGAUGGGGAAACCGGCGAACGGGUGCGUAACACGUGAGGAACCUGCCCCGAAGACCGGGAUAGCCCGAGGAAACUCGGAUUAAUACCGGAUACCCUCUUUGGACCACAUGGUCUGCUGAGGAAAUGGUCCGCCGCUUCGGGAUGGCCUCGCGGCCUAUCAGCUUGUUGGUGAGGUAACGGCUCACCAAGGCAAAGACGGGUAGCUGGUCUGAGAGGACGAUCAGCCACACUGGGACUGAGACACGGCCCAGACUCCUACGGGAGGCAGCAGCAGGGAAUAUUGCACAAUGGGCGAAAGCCUGAUGCAGCGACACCGCGUGCGGGAUGAAGGCCCUCGGGUUGUAAACCGCUUUCAGGAGGGACGAAACUGACGGUACCUCCAGAAGAAGGCCCGGCCAACUACGUGCCAGCAGCCGCGGUAAUACGUAGGGGCCAAACGUUGUCCGGAUUUAUUGGGCGUAAAGGGCUCGUAGGCGGUUCAAAAAGUCGAUCGUGAAAGCCCGGGGCUCAACCCCGGGACGCCGGUCGAAACUGUUGUGACUAGGGUCCGGUAGAGGUGAGUGGAAUUCUCGGUGUAGCGGU
rnacentral:rRNA from 1 species